AGCCCUCAUUUUUCCAUCAACAACGGCACAACCCUUUAUUAUCUCUCUCUAGAAGACUCUCAUAAGACGGCAAAUUGUCGCCGGUGGACUGACCAACAACGGCACCUCCUCCCUCGCCUCCUCCUUCUCCCCGUCGUGUCGCCAAGAUCGACGGACCAAACCGUCGAUUCGCCAUCCACCGCCGAUGGACCACCAGCCGUUGUGCCAACGUUACCCUCACUUUCUCCCUCUCUCUCUCCCUCGAUCGCCACUUCUCCAACCAACCGUCCAGCCUCAAAGCCAGCGCUGAAAGAGAUACAUUGGCGAUUAUCGAUUCUAGCUACAAAUUAAUGAAGAAGAUAUUGAUGCAGAUUUGAUUGGUCUAGUUCCUGGAGAUACGAACAUGCUUGGUAGAGCGUUCAUUGAGCAUGAUGGAUCUUCUUGGUAUCCCGCGUCAAAAGAAGUUGAUGAGGUUGUUGAAAGGGAGAGCAUUAUGAGAAUUUUUACAUAUCCUUGGCACGAGUGGUGAGACAUUCCAAUAGUCUCUAAACAAGUCAUGUUUCAAGAGUUUAAGCAUGAUCAAGCCAUUUCUACAAUUUUUGAGAGACAUGUUGCUAUCACAUCAGAUUGCACAUCCUAGAUGUACCUUGACACAGGCCGUUGCUCCUGAUUCAAGUAGCGAAGAGGAAACAGAGAGUGAUGAGGAGUUUGUUGGGGCUACUCCUUAGUGUUGUUGGACUUGACUUUUAGAUAAUUUUUAGAUAUUUUUGAACUUAGCUUUUAAUUAGUGAAAAAUCUUUAGGAGUGUUUAGGUAUUUUGAAUAUUGUUGGAUUUAUUGUUUAAGUGUUGUUGAUUUGAAUUGCUUAAGUGAUUUGUUGAUGUAGUGUGUUGUAUGAUUAUUGUAAUAAUGUGUGUUGCAUAAGGGAUGUAUAUAUUGAAUUGCA